rnacentral:rRNA from 1 species
UACGAGGGGGGCAAGCGUUGUUCGGAAUUAUUGGGCGUAAAGGGUGUGUAGGCGGGCAGUUAAGUCAGUGGUGAAAUCUCCGGGCUCAACCCGGAAACUGCCAUUGAUACUAUCUGUCUUGAAUUUUGUUGAGGUAGGCGGAAUAUGUCAUGUAGCGGUGAAAUGCAUAGAUAUGACAUAGAACACCAAUUGCGAAGGCAGCUUACUAAGCAAACAUUGACGCUGAGGCACGAAAGCGUGGGGAUCAAACAGG